rnacentral:rRNA from 1 species
CCUACGGGAGGCUGCAGUGGGGAAUAUUGGGCCAUGGGCGAAAGCCUGACCCAGCAACGCCGCGUGAAGGAAGAAGGCUUUCGGGUUGUAAAGCUCUAUCAGCAGGGAAGAAAGGAAUGACGGUACCUGACUAAGAAGCCCCGGCUAACUACGUGCCAGCAGCCGCGGUAAUACGUAGGGGGCAAGCGUUAUCCGGAUUUACUGGGUGUAAAGGGAGCGUAGACGGUUACGCAAGUCUGGAGUGAAAGGCGGGGGCCCAACCCCCGGACUGCUUUGGAAACUGUAUAACUGGAGUGCAGGAGAGGUAAGUGGAAUUCCUAGUGUAGCGGUGAAAUGCGUAGAUAUUAGGAGGAACACCAGUGGCGAAGGCGGCUUACUGGACUGUAACUGACGUUGAGGCUCGAAAGCGUGGGGAGCAAACAGGAUUAGAUACCCCUGUAGUC